rnacentral:rRNA from 1 species
AACGAACGCUGGCGGCAGGCUUAACACAUGCAAGUCGAACGCCCCGCAAGGGGAGUGGCAGACGGGUGAGUAACGCGUGGGAACAUACCCUUUUCUAUGGAAUAGCUCUGGGAAACUGGAAUUAAUACCGUAUACGCCCUACGGGGGAAAGGUUUAUCGGGGAAGGAUUGGGCCGCGUGGGAUUAUCGAGUUGGUGGGGUGAAGGCCUAGCAAGGCGACGAGGCAGAGCUGGUCUGAGAGGAUGAUCAGCCACAUUGGGACUGAGACACGGCCCACACUCGUACGGGGGGCAGGAGUGGGGUAUAUUAGGCAAGGGGCGCAAGCCUGAUCAAGCCAUGCGGCGUGAGUGAUGAAGGCCUUAGGGUUGUGAAGCUCUUUCACCGAUGAAGAUAAUGACGGUAGUCGGAGAAGAAGCCCCGGCUAACUUCGUG